GCGAUGAUGGUGUAGGGGUAACAUCUAAGCUUCCCAUGCUUAGGCUCCGAGUUCGAGUCUCGGUCAUCGCA